rnacentral:rRNA from 1 species
CUACGUAGGGGGCGAGCGUUGUCCGGAAUGACUGGGCGUAAAGGGCGUGUAGGCGGCUGGAUAAGUCUGGAGUGAAAGUCCUGCAUUCAAUGUGGGAAUUGCUUUGGAGACUGUCUGGCUUGAGUGCGGACGAGGUAAGUGGAAUUCCCAGUGUAGCGGUGAAAUGCGUAGAGAUUGGGAGGAACACCAGUGGCGAAGGCGACUUACUGGGCCGUAACUGACGCUGAGGCGCGAAAGCGUGGGGAGCGAACAGGAUUAGAUACCCUGGUAGUCCACGCGGUAAACGAUGAAUGCUAGGUGUAGGGGGUAUCGACCCCUCCUGUGCCGGAGUGAACACAAUAAGCAUUCCGCCUGGGGAGUACGGCCGCAAGGUUGAAACUCAAAUGAAUUGACGGGG